rnacentral:rRNA from 1 species
CGUGGGUAACCUGCCCAAGAGAUCGGGAUAACACCUGGAAACAGAUGCUAAUACCGGAUAACAACAGAUGAUGCCUAUCAACUGUUUAAAGGAUGGUUCUGCUAUCACUCUUGGAUGGACCUGCGGUGCAUUAGCUAGUUGGUAGGGUAACGGCCUACCAAGGCGAUGAUGCAUAGCCGAGUUGAGAGACUGAUCGGCCACAUUGGGACUGAGACACGGCCCAAACUCCUACGGGAGGCAGCAGGG